GAAUCUAGAUGGUGAGAAGCCCACCAUUUUUCUAGGCCCUGGAUGAUGUAGAAGAUUUAGAUACUAAGCCUCAAGAGACGUCUUUCCUCUCAUUUACGGUCUUCCUGCAUAUUUAAUAUUUCUAAUAUGGUAGACAGAGUCGGUGUCUUUGAAGCUGUUAAUCAGGCAAUCUCCUGGGCACUCCAGCUGCGGGUCCUCGCGGCCUUCUCGGCUUCUUCAGCUUCGGUCGGAGAGGACCCGGCGCCGAAUCACUGACUGGCACAGGUGUCGGGAAAAUGAUCCACAGUCUAUUUCUCAUAAACUGUUCCGGUGACAUAUUUCUAGAGAAGCACUGGAAGAGCGUUGUGAGCCAGUCUGUCUGUGAUUAUUUCUUUGAAGCUCAAGAAAAAGCUGCUGAUGUUGAAAAUGUACCACCUGUCAUUUCAACACCUCACCACUACCUCAUUAGUAUCUACCGGGAUAAGCUCUUCUUUGUAUCUGUCAUACAGACUGAAGUGCCACCUCUCUUUGUAAUUGAGUUCCUACAUCGAGUUGCUGACACUUUUCAGGACUACUUUGGUGAGUGUUCAGAGGCUGCAAUUAAGGAUAAUGUGGUCAUAGUAUAUGAACUCUUAGAAGAAAUGUUAGACAAUGGAUUUCCACUGGCUACCGAAUCUAACAUUUUGAAAGAAUUGAUUAAACCACCAACAAUUCUACGCUCUGUUGUCAACUCUAUUACAGGCAGUAGUAAUGUUGGGGACACACUCCCCACUGGGCAACUGUCCAACAUACCAUGGCGUCGGGCAGGGGUAAAGUACACAAACAAUGAAGCCUAUUUUGAUGUUGUUGAAGAAAUAGACGCAAUUAUAGAUAAAUCAGGAUCUACAGUCUUUGCAGAAAUUCAGGGGGUCAUUGAUGCUUGCAUUAAACUAUCUGGAAUGCCUGAUCUCUCCCUUUCUUUCAUGAACCCUAGGCUUCUGGAUGAUGUCAGCUUCCACCCCUGCAUCCGGUUCAAGCGUUGGGAAUCUGAAAGAGUUUUGUCAUUUAUUCCUCCAGAUGGAAAUUUCCGACUCAUAUCAUACCGUGUCAGCUCACAAAAUCUAGUGGCAAUACCAGUGUAUGUGAAACAUAGUAUCAGCUUUAAGGAGAACAGUUCUUGUGGCAGAUUUGAUAUAACAAUUGGACCAAAGCAGAAUAUGGGGAAAACUAUUGAAGGAAUUACAGUGACAGUUCACAUGCCAAAAGUUGUGCUGAACAUGAACCUGACACCCACACAAGGCAGCUAUACAUUUGAUCCAGUCACCAAGGUACAGCCACUUCAAAUCAAGAGUACUAACAUGGGAUGUGGGAAAAAUUACUCCACAAAAGCUCCCAAGUCUUAAAGGACUGGUAAAUUUACAGUCUGGAGCCCCAAAACCAGAAGAGAAUCCGAGCCUCAACAUACAGUUUAAGAUACAGCAGCUUGCUAUUUCAGGCUUAAAAGUAAACCGUUUGGACAUGUAUGGGGAGAAAUAUAAGCCAUUUAAAGGAGUCAAAUACGUCACGAAAGCUGGAAAGUUCCAAGUGAGGACAUGAGAAGAGGCCAAAAUUCCUCAAGACCAGUUUGUUUUACAAGUGUCAUUACGAUGUAUUACUAUUAGGUACCAAGUGGGUGGGAAUACAUAUUCUAGUUAAAGCUUUGUGUCCAGCUACACACCACUAACAAAGUUGCUUAGUUAUCAAUGUAGGAUUCUUAAGGAGCUUUAAGCUAAGGAAACCUUUUAGUGACUUAGCUUAUUUUGUAUCUUUUCACUUAGGAAGAUUUUGGAGGUGAUUUUUUUUCAAAGGAGGAUACCAUCUGACAGCUGCACAUUUUAACAGCAAAGGCAGAAAGCUACAGUGAUAACCUCUUUCCUAAAAGAGUUAACUGGUCUCAUCCAGCAGAAGCUAUCUUAAAUCUGUGAUGUGUCAGGUGCAGCCAAAUAUCACACCUUCUGAUCUUAGCCAUCCCAAACCAGUAUCUGUCCCAAGAGAGGAAAUUCCCCCCACCCCGAGAAGUUUACAGAAAACUGCCUCUUCAAGUGUUUGCCUUAUUCAGCUUUUCACUUGUGCCAUUAAGCAAGCACUGUAGCAAAAGCCACUUCCACAUGGCCCUGGCAGGGAGCACUGCUGCUCCAUGCUCCAUUCUCACUGUACUUGGUAUUGUAUUUUUUAUAAAUAAGAUUUUUAUGUAAAGCUUAGAAUUUGAUUUACAGGGACCUUGCUGCAGUAAAUACCAUCUCAAUUUUGUGCCACUGGUUCAGCUGUUAGCACAGUAAAGAAAUCAUUUGUAUCAAAGGGGCAAAUGCUUUAUUAAGGUAGUAAAAGGGAACAUUACUUCUGCUUUUAGGAAGUUACUGCAAGCACAAGCAUUUGUGCUUUUAAGCAAAUUAAAGUAGUAAAAGAAAAACUUAAGUGAAACCUUUGCCAUCUUCAUGUUUUAUAAUAUAAAGCUUACCCAACACCAGUUAAGCCAUGGUUAACCUAAAUGCCUCAUGCCCCAGUUCAGCAAAAGGAGGAAAAUGUGCCUGCCUCACAGUCAUCAGUCUUUUUAAAUCUUUUUUGUUAUUGUUCUUAAGGGGUUGAAUUUGCCUGCAUUCCUUGUCUUUAGGGGAAAUUCCCUUUUCAUAUUGUGUGCUUCCCAAAGCUAUAGGCAUAGAUUUCUUCCAGAAACUAUUGUCAUAAUUGUCAUUGAAGUGCUUAAAUAUACCUACUAUACUGACAAAAUGCAUGGAAGUGAGUUAUAAUGAGGCAGAAACAAAAUCCUCGGUAACAUUGAUGAUACUCUACCGAUUACCAUGGUUUUGGAAAGUCAGUCAACAGUUGUAUUAUUGCACUCAACUUCAUUGUGUCAUUUUAUUUAACUUCUUCAUCUUGGUGGUCCUUGCCCAGUUAUUUUGCCUCAUUAGACAUCAAGAAAUGGAGAAAGACUGAAAGUUAAGAUAUUAAGUGCUUGUUCUUCAUGUUUCCUUCUUGUUAUUUAUGCUAUUUUCUUCUCUUUGUGGCUCCAUUCUUCUUUCAGUCUUCUCUACUUAUAACUCUUUCCCUUAUGCUAAGGAUAGCCCUUACACUCAUCCCAUCCAUGCUGUCAAGGGCUGCUGGUUGGUGCCGGUACAAGAAGCCCACUGAGCAGUUUUCUUACCUUUUCCUGCCCUGCCUUUCAUGGAAUAAGAAAGGCAACGUUUUGCAGCUUCCAAAUUUCUGAAGAAGCUAAUCUCAGAUUGGCAGUUAAAGUCAAAAUGUUGCCAAAUAUUUAUUCCUUUUGCCUAAGUUUGGCUGCCCGGUUCAAUUGAUUUUUAUUUUUAAUGUCUUGACUCUUCAGAGUUCAUACCUCAAAAGAACAAUCAGAACAUUUGCUUUGCUUUCUGCUGAAUCCCUAAUCUCAACAAUUUAUACCUGGACUGUCCAGUUCUCCUCCUGUACUAUCUUCUCUUCUGUCCAAGUAGAAUGUAUGCCAGGAGCUCCUUCCCUCUAGCAAUUUCUACUAAAAUGUCCAAGUAGAAUGUUUCCUUUUACAAUCAAAUUACUGUAUUUAUUAAUUUGCUAGAAUCCAGUAAAUCAUUUUGGUAGCUCUGGCUGUGCUAUCAAUAAAAAGAUGAAGGCAACAA